rnacentral:rRNA from 1 species
GCAAGUCGAGCGGUAGAUUGAUUAAAGAAGCUUCGGUGGAAUUAAUUGAUUGAGAGCGGCGAACGGGUGAGUAACACGUUGGUAUCUGCCCCCAAGUCAGGGAUAGCCAUUGGAAACGAUGAUUAAUACCGGAUAGUCUCUUCGGAGUAAAAAUUUAUUGCUUGGGGAGGAGCCUGCGGUCUAUCAGCUAGUUGGUGAGGUAAUAGCUCACCAAGGCUAUGACGGAUAACUGGUCUGAGAGGAUGACC